rnacentral:rRNA from 1 species
UGAACGCUAGCGGGAGGCUUAACACAUGCAAGUCGAGGGGUAACGCUGUCUUCGGACAGGCGACGACCGGCGAACGGGUGCGUAACGCGUAUGCAACCUGCCUUAAUCAGGGGGAUAGCCCAUGGAAACGUGGAUUAAUACCCCAUAGUAUGAUAUUAUCGCCUGGUAAUAUUAUUAAAACUUCGGUGGAUUAAGAUGGGCAUGCGUAUGAUUAGUUAGUUGGUGAGGUAACGGCUCACCAAGACGACGAUCAUUAGGGGUUCUGAGAGGAUUAUCCCCCACACUGGUACUGAGACACGGACCAGACUCCUACGGGAGGCAGCAGUGAGGAAUAUUGGUCAAUGGCCGCAAGGCUGAACCAGCCAUCCCGCGUGCAGGAUGACGGCCCUACGGGUUGUAAACUGCUUUUCUAUGCCAAGAAACCCACCUACGUGUAGGUGGUUGCCGGUAGCAUAGGAAUAAGCAUCGGCUAACUCC